ACGGAGCAACGCCGCGUGAGUGAUGAAGGUUUUCGGAUCGUAAAGCUCUGUUGUUAGGGAAGAACAAGUGCAAGAGUAACUGCUUGCACCUUGACGGUACCUAACCAGAAAGCCACGGCUAACUACGUGCCAGCAGCCGCGGUAAUACGUAGGUGGCAAGCGUUGUCCGGAAUUAUUGGGCGUAAAGGGCUCGCAGGCGGUUUCUUAAGUCUGAUGUGAAAGCCCCCGGCUCAACCGGGGAGGGUCAUUGGAAACUGGGAAACUUGAGUGCAGAAGAGGAGAGUGGAAUUCCACGUGUAGCGGUGAAAUGCGUAGAGAUGUGGAGGAACACCAGUGGCGAAGGCGACUCUCUGGUCUGUAACUGACGCUGAGGAGCGAAAGCGUGGGGAGCGAACAGGAUUAGAUACCCUGGUAGUCCACGCCGUAAACGAUGAGUGCUAAGUGUUAGGGGGUUUCCGCCCCUUAGUGCUGCAGCUAACGCAUUAAGCACUCCGCCUGGGGAGUACGGUCGCAAGACUGAAACUCAAAGGAAUUGACGGGGGCCCGCACAAGCGGUGGAGCAUGUGGUUUAAUUCGAAGCAACGCGAAGAACCUUACCAGGUCUUGACAUCCUCUGACAACCCUAGAGAUAGGGCUUUCCCUUCGGGGACAGAGUGACAGGUGGUGCAUGGUUGUCGUCAGCUCGUGUCGUGAGAUGUUGGGUUAAGUCCCGCAACGAGCGCAACCCUUGAUCUUAGUUGCCAGCAUUCAGUUGGGCACUCUAAGGUGACUGCCGG
rnacentral:rRNA from 1 species